GACUAGUUUGACUAUAGUACUCUCUAUAAUCACUGUACUCUCUGCCUACAAUACAGAUAGUCAUGGACAAAAAAUGGAUUUGGGUGCAAGAGAAAAAAUCGAAUCAAACGGGGGUUUAUGGCCCUAAUUGUCCUCCAGCAGGAAUACCGAACUAUUCUGCGCCUAUAGGAAAACAGCCGAGGGACUGAGGAUUUCAGGCCUGACGCGCAUACAUUAUAACAGGCGUAGAAAGAGGGCCUGCUCUCGUCACCGGGCCUGGCUGUGAGGCUGAACAAUAGCGCGCGUGUGCGCGCGGACGCAGAGAGGUGGGGAUGGAAUCCGAUUGUUCCGCCGCUCGGCAGAUAAUCCGGCGCGCACCGACUGCAGCUGCCCUGCCUUGAUCUCAUCAUCUCCCUGGCAGCCGCAGACAGGAUCGCUCCGGUCCCGCGCCCGCCCCGCGCCCGCCGGGCUGAUUGAAGCAGAGGUCUCUCCGGAACGGCGAACGCUCCUCCCCCUGUUUACAAGGCAGCCCUCUCUCCUUUAUUAUGCAUGCGGAAGCAGUUGGGUGGGAAUACAGGGCACCCCUGGAGAAGAUUCAAAUACGGCCCAACACGCUGCUCAAAGACUGUUUUGCCCUCGUUUUGUUCUGCAUAUUUAUGACCUUGGAAUAUGCUAAUGCAUUUUUUAAAUGUAUCAUAAAACCAUGCUCUAGCUGGAUUUACCUCAUUCCUCCUCUUUCCAUCAACAUCAGCAUGAUAAAAUAAAUAUAUCAGGAUUCCAAGGCCACAACACAGCUGGGAUCUGUUGAAUUUUCUGAAAUGCAAAACCCAUACAUGUAUUUGCUGUUUCAGUCUAAUGUUAUAAUCAUUGGAAUGGGGGGAAAACAAUAAAAGCUUUGCUGAGCUCAAAUGCAA